rnacentral:rRNA from 1 species
CACGUAGGGCGCAAGCGUUGUCCGGAAUUAUUGGGCGUAAAGAGCUCGUAGGCGGUCUGUUGCGUCCGCUGUGAAAACUCGGGGCUUAACCCCGAGCCUGCAGUGGAUACGGGCAGACUAGAGGUAGGUAGGGGAGAAUGGAAUUCCCGGUGUAGCGGUGAAAUUCGUAGAUAUCGGGAGGAACACCUGUGGCGAAGGCGGCCAUCUGGACAACUACUGACACUGAGACGCGAAAGCGUGGGUAGCAAACAGG